GCCACUCUGAAAAAUGUAUGGAGAUGUUCGAAUCUUCUACCACUUGGUUAUAGCUGAUCUAUAAUGACAGAACGACCUCCAUAACCCUAAAAUAUGUAUCUCAUGAUUUAUUUUGGAUGUGUGAGUAGUUACCUACAACAACCUCCUUUGCACGUCCCAAGAUUUCGAUCACGACUGGCUCUGACUCUCAUCUAUAUAAAUUACUCGUUGGAUCCUCCAAAUAAGUCAC
rnacentral:lncRNA from 1 species